UUGGUAAUUAUUUUUUAUCUGUUUGGUAGUUUAUUUUGUUUUAUUGACACACACGCUACCUUCUUUCCUCCUUCUAGGAUCUGUUUGAUGCAAUUGGUAACAAUAAUUCUAUGAAUAUGUAUUUAUAUAAUCUGUCAUAAGUCUAAUCCUGACAUGUUUGCAUUUUUACUGUUGUAAUAUUCUUGCUAGUUGUAGCAGAAAUACUAAGUCGUGGCCUAAAAUAAUGGCUGAGCACCUGCUGGGAAGGCAAGGCCAACCAAGGCGAACUCAGGGGUAGGUAAUGAACCUGAGUGACAAACAGGGGUGGAUCCUGGCUCCACCCUAUUCCAGACCUCAUUUAAGGGUUGGAAGUGGAAGCAAGGGUGCUUUGCUGGUGAUCUCUGCCUACUUGAGGCCUUCUAAAGGAUCAGAAGAACAGAGGUGUUGGAAACCAAGUCUGCAGAGCAUGGAGUGGGACGCAUGGAGAAGCUUGCUGUAUAGCACAUCCAUCAAAAUUUUACCUCGUACACAGUGGCAAACAUUUCUACUCUCUCAAGGGAAGAACACCUUAUAUAUGUUCUCAUUCUGUCACUUAAAAUGAUUAAAAGAUCCAGACUACUGCUAAGAUCCUUUGGAGUCAUUCUUUCUUUUUAAAGCAAAGAUGUAAGAAAUAUGGGGAUCAGUUGGAACUGGUGAAGCCGGUGUUCACACAGAUAGCCACUCAACAUCCUUCAGGCCCACGUCUCUUGAGAAUACUACAGCAGUCUUUGACAUUUCAAAUAAUGAUUUUACAAUGUCAAAUGAUGGCCCUGAUAACUUCAAAAUUUUUGCUAUUUGUUCAGUUAUACACUUGCUGUCAUGACCAGAUGUGAAACAAAUUGACUGUGAAACAGAGAAAUAGCAAAGACUUCAAACAUUUUCACUAACACUUAUGAAUUUUAAAUCAAAGCUAUAAUAUUUUUAUUUUGGAUGUUCAAUUACUGUUUUUCUAUCCCUCAAUAAUUAUUAUUUUGUGACCUCUUCAUACCCAAAUGGAUUUUCUGAUUUUUCUCUCUAGCAAUUUGGUGUAGACCUCAACAAGUUACUGAAAAGUAAUAGCAUGUAAUUACUGCUUGAAAGUUUUUCUAUAGUUCCCCUGAGGACAGUAUCUCCUAAUUCCAUUGUCUUUAUAUCAUGUUACAAAUUAUUGAUACAUUUUUGGUGUCAAUAUGACUCAAAGAAAAAGUGAUGUAAGGCAAUGUAUUGUGCUAGUGAAUUUUUGGGUAACAUUACCAUGGCCUAGAAAUGUCAGACUUUUGUAUUCGACUGAAGUAAAUACUAUAAAUAUUUUCAGGAAUUUUUGAUGCUAAGUCCUAAAGGCAUCCUGUAGAUCUCCUGAGCUGUACAUAUCCCCAUUGCCAGGAGCAAGGACAGAUGUCUAUAUUCACUUUCGAACAUGCCAUCAUCAAUCAUCAACAAUUAAUUAGUAAUAACAAUAAUAAGAAGAACCUUGAAAAGCAACAGCCAUAGUAGAAUAUAAUUUUCUUCCAUACAGCUAGUAAAGAUAAGAAAAACUAUGGAAAACAUUGAUCCAACACAAAGCAUUUUUUUGAAGAGCAGACAAAGAGGCUAUAAACAAUGACAAAAUAUUUUUAAAUUUGCAUUUAAUAAAACCUGCAUGUAGGCUUUAUUAAAUAGUAAAUGCAAUUACAAUGGAAUGUUCCAUUGUAAUUUCAUCUGUAUCUCUAGGUGGUUUUGUUUGUUUGUUUGUUUGCUUUUAUUUUUUGUGAAAGGCAAGGAAAACAACUAAAAGAAUCUGUCUUACACUGCCAAUGUUGUUUCUACUUUAUCUUUCUGGUCUCAUAUCAAACCGAUGACUUUCAGAUUGGGCGACAAAGAACAACAAAAAAAAACAUGUGUCCAAACAGCCAAUGAGGUUAGGAGCUCAAAGUACAGCUAGGUGAUAAUGCCCUUAGUAUUAAUCCCUUGAAAAUCUACAUUCUGUAGGAAAGUCUGGAAGCAAGAUUGCAUGGUAUUUAAUAUAAGACAACUAAACUGAAAUUGUGCUGCAUCUUCUAUUAAUUUCCCUGUAUUCUCCUCAGUUACUAGGCUACUUUCUGUAACUGUUAUAGGUGCCUUAAGUGUUUACAUGUUUCUUUAUGAAACGCAGAAUGCUGAAAUUUAUUUCUGCAUUUAUGUAUGACAUCUAGUUAUUCUUUAAAAAAAAAGUCAACUUCUUCUGCUAUUCACCAUAUAGCUGAUAAAGUAGUGAUUAUAUCCAUAUUUAUAUUUUGCCCUUUAAUGGUAUUUGCUAUUUCCUAAUGACAUUUACACAAUAUAUUUAUAUUUAUUUGCCAUAUAGUAUUUAGUUAUCACGUAUGGAGUGCUCUGCCUUUACUAGAAGUCUACUUCAGAACAAAUGAGGCUUUACAGUAAGAAGAGGUACAGAAAAAAGCGUUCAUAAAAAAAUCAAAUAUUGGAAAUGUAACUGAAUACAGUUUUGGGACUAGGUAUUGAUUACAUUCUACUACACUGUUGUAAAAAUUUUACGUCACCUUAUGUGUUAAUGAUAUUUUAGAUUAAACUGUGUAUAUGGAACUAUGGAAAUGGUUUAGCAAACAUUAAAAAUAUUAAUCUUCUUAUCAAAACUUUUUAUCCCAACUGAUUAAAAAACCUUGUACAUGAAGGAAAAUUCUUGGAAA